AAAAGGAAAGGGUUCAAGGGCACCUAGGUCUGGCUCUACUAAUGCUGGAAGUUCAUCUCCUAAUCUUUCACGUAUGUCUGGAGCUCUUGAUGGCUGGGAACAACCUCCAAGUUCAAAUAAAUUUCAAUCAGUUAAUGGGGCUAACAAUCGCAAGCGUCCCAUGCCCAGUGGAUCAUCUUCUCCCCCCAUGGCUCAAUGGGUUGGCCAGAGGCCACAGAAAAUACCCCG
rnacentral:misc_RNA from 1 species